UUAUUGGAGAGUUUGAUCCUGGCUCAGGACGAACGCUGGCGGCGUGCCUAAUACAUGCAAGUCGAGCGAAUUGAUGGGAGCUUGCUCCCUGAUAUUAGCGGCGGACGGGUGAGUAACACGUGGGUAACCUGCCUGUAAGAUUGGGAUAACUCCGGGAAACCGGAGCUAAUACCGGAUAACAUUUUGAACCGCAUGGUUC
rnacentral:rRNA from 1 species